rnacentral:rRNA from 1 species
GAUGAACGCUGGCGGCGUGCCUAAUACAUGCAAGUCGAGCGAACAGAUAAGGAGCUUGCUCCUUUGACGUUAGCGGCGGACGGGUGAGUAACACGUGGAUAACCUACCUAUAAGACUGGGAUAACUUCGGGAAACCGGAGCUAAUACCGGAUAACAUAUUGAACCGCAUGGUUCAAUAGUGAAAGGCGGCUUUGCUGCCACUUAUAGAUGGAUCCGCGCCGUAUUAGCUAGUUGGUAAGGUAACGGCUUACCAAGGCAACGAUACGUAGCCGACCUGAGAGGGUGAUCGGCCACACUGGAACUGAGACACGGUCCAGACUCCUACGGGAGGCAGCAGUAGGGAAUCUUCCGCAAUGGGCGAAAGCCUGACGGAGCAACGCCGCGUGAGUGAUGAAGGUCUUCGGAUCGUAAAACUCUGUUAUCAGGGAAGAACAAAUGUGUAAGUAACUGUGCACAUCUUGACGGUACCUGAUCAGAAAGCCACGGCUAACUACGUG